rnacentral:rRNA from 1 species
CCCUUAGAUGUUCUGGGCCGCACGCGCGCUACACUGACAGAGCCAACGAGUUCUUCACCUUGGCCGGAAGGUCUGGGUAAUCUUGUUAAACUCUGUCGUGCUGGGGAUAGAGCAUUGCAAUUAUUGCUCUUCAACGAGGAAUGCCUAGUAAGCGCGUGUCAUCAGCACGCGUUGAUUACGUCCCUGCCCUUUGUACACACCGCCCGUCGCUACUACCGAUUGAAUGGCUCAGUGAGGCCUUCGGACUGGCUCAGGGAGGUUGGCAACGACCACCCCGAGCCGGAAAGUUCGUCAAACUCGGUCAUUUAGAGGAAGUAAAAGGCGUAACA